GUGCUCGAAGCUUAAGUUUUGAAGCAGCAGCCUUGUAAGCUGAAGAUUGAGGACUUGUUCUCCUCCCCGCACA
rnacentral:tRNA from 1 species